rnacentral:rRNA from 1 species
GAUGAACGCUGGCGGCGUGCUUAACACAUGCAAGUCGAACGGAAAGGCUCCUGCUUGCAGGGGUACUCGAGUGGCGAACGGGUGAGCAACACGUGGGUGAUCUGCCCUGCACUUCGGGAUAAGCCUGGGAAACUGGGUCUAAUACCGGAUAGGACGAUGGUUUGGAUGCCAUUGUGGAAAGUUUUUCGGUGUGGGAUGAGCUCGCGGCCUAUCAGCUUGUUGGUGGGGUAAUGGCCUACCAAGGCGUCGACGGGUAGCCGGCCUGAGAGGGUGUACGGCCACAUUGGGACUGAGAUACGGCCCAGACUCCUACGGGAGGCAGCAGUGGGGAAUAUUGCACAAUGGGCGCAAGCCUGAUGCAGCGACGCCGCGUGGGGGAUGACGGCCUUCGGGUUGUAAACUCCUUUCGCCAGGGACGAAGCGCAAGUGACGGUACCUGGAGAAGAAGCACCGGCUAACUACGUG